GAUUGAAGUCAGUCAUGCCGGCGGGAAUCAACUUAGGGGAAACUUUAAGUGCACUUCACGUUUGGCAGGUCAGCGUCGAUUUUGGAUAUCAUAAAAUGAUUGGGGGAAGGUAGCUCCUUCGGGAGUGUUAUAGCCCUUGAUAGAUGUGAUGUCUGGGAUCGAGGAUUGCAACGGAUACCUUUUGGGCUAGCCGCCUGAUCUCUAACUGGUGUUGGGUUAUGGACAGCAU
rnacentral:rRNA from 1 species